rnacentral:lncRNA from 1 species
UUCUCCUUCGUAGUCUACCCAUUCGUCUUUGAUGAUUUGCCUCCUCUGGUUUCGGUUGCGUCGCCUUCUUCUCAGAGGGGAAGUGCAUUUGGUCUUCUCCGGUUCCAAUAUUGAUGAUGGCUUUGAUAGUGUUGAGGAACGGUCUUCCAAGGAUGGUGGGUCGAUCAUACUCGUCUUCUCCCAUGUCAAUGACCUGAAAAUCAUCUGAAGCUGAAUAUAUAUUGGUUGUAGGGGCAUGGUUCUAUGAAGGAGCUGAUAAGUGACUACGGCCAUUAUGUUGUC